CUGAAAAACAAGAAGUGGCUCUCAAAAUUUCAUUCUCCCUCUAACCCUCGUUUACUCUCCCUCUCACUCAAUUAUUUCAUCUUCUCAAUCUUUUUCUCAAAAACAUUGAAGUAAACCACAUAUACUCAUCGAAAUCACUUGCUUUUUGGUCACCAAUUCGAAACCAUGCUUCUCCUCUGACGAAAUCCUCAAGGUACAGAUUACAGAAGAAGAUCUGUCUUAUAUCGAAACAACACCGGCAACGCCAGCACCUCUCAUGUUCAUCUGAUUCUUCCUCUUCUUACUCUGAUUCCUCCGGAUCUGUAGAUUUCUUUCUCGGCAAUUGAUGAUGGAAGGAAGAAGAAUCAUAGCAAACUCUAGACCUUGUGGCGGUAGAAGUGUUGUCGCAAAGAAGAGGUCUUGUCCAAUGGAUUCGUCAACAGCGGUAAAAAGCUCAACGCCGAGAAAUCUCGCCUCAUAUGGAUCGAGCUUUCUCAAUCAGCACCACUCAAGAGAGAUUCUGAGACAUGCGUCUCGUGGUAUGUUGUAUCAUCUUCUUCUGAUUUCUGAUUUCGAUUUUGGUUAAUUUUGCUCCUCAAACUUCGCCAAGUUCUUAAUCUUUUUUUUGUUGGGUUCUGGAUUCAACAACAAUAAAAUAAUCACAUACAAGUAUGUAUCAAAGCUAUGGAGGAAUACUCAAUUUAAUUUCAUAAGAUUUCUGCAGAUGCGUGGUGCAGACAACAACCUUCCUGUUGUUUUGUCAAGCAACCUUGCGACGUUCGUUGUUUGAUGCGUAUCUGCUCAACCACGAGGAAUUUGUGCAUGAAACCAGUUGGAGAAUGUGCUCAGCCCAAUUACAAAACUCCUCGAAGAAGAAUCAGAUCAAACAGAGUUCAGAUGAAAGAGUUACGCAAUUUACAAAAUAGGUGAUCUCCAGCUUACGCGAAUUCAGACAUACGCCCAUUCAAAGGAGGAUCCUGACCAUACUAGAUUGAAUUAAGCUACAAACCAAAUUGUUUUAGAAUUUUGGUCCAUCAGAGAAGCCCAACAAAGUGGAGUCAGCCCAAAAUCAAGAAGAAAAUAGAGAUUUUCGUCUAUUCUCAAAACAACACUUAACAAUGUGGUUUUCUCUCUCUUGCACGCACUUUAGAGUUUGAAUUUCAAUUCCCAAGUUAAUGCAUUCCCAAGUUGCUGACUGUUAUAGGAAAUUGUUGUAUCUCCUCUAUAUAAUGAGGCUUAAUUCAUGAAUGAAAAAUAAGUUUUGUUGUUGAGU